rnacentral:rRNA from 1 species
UACGUAGGGUGCAAGCGUUGUCCGGAAUUAUUGGGCGUAAAGAGCUCGUAGGCGGUUUGUCGCGUCGGCUGUGAAAACCUGGGGCUUAACUCCGGGCCUGCAGCCGAUACGGGCAGACUAGAGUUCGGCAGGGGAGACUGGAAUUCCUGGUGUAGCGGUGAAAUGCGCAGAUAUCAGGAGGAACACCGGUGGCGAAGGCGGGCCUCUGGGCCGAUACUGACGCUGAGGAGCGAAAGCGUGGGGAGCAAACAGG